UACGAAGGGUGCAAACGUUGCUCGGAAUUAUUGGGCGUAAAGCGCACGUAGGCGGCUUGGCAAGUCGGAUGUGAAAUCCCUCGGCUCAACCAAGGAAGUGCAUCCGAAACUGCUGAGCUUGAGUACUUAAGAGGAUCGCGGAAUUCCCGGUGUAGUGGUGAAAUGCGUAGAUAUCCGGAGGAACACCGGUGGCGAAGGCGGCUUCCUGGACCGACACUGACGCUGAGGCGCGAAAGCUAGGGGAGCAAACGGG
rnacentral:rRNA from 1 species